rnacentral:rRNA from 1 species
AAGAUGGCGACCGGCGCACGGGUGAGUAACACGUAUCCAACCUGCCGAUAACUCUGGAAUAGCCUUUCGAAAGAAAGAUUAAUACCGGAUGGCAUACGAAUAUCGCAUGAUAUUUUUAUUAAAGAAUUUCGGUUAUCGAUGGGGAUGCGUUCCAUUAGUUUGUUGGCGGGGUAACGGCCCACCAAGACUACGAUGGAUAGGGGUUCUGAGAGGAAGGUCCCCCACAUUGGAACUGAGACACGGUCCAA